GCUGAGGGGAGGGCCGCCGUGAGGGGCUGAGGGGCCCGCCGGCCGCCGUCCCGGAGGAAGGCGAGAGCCGGGUGCGGCCGGAGGCGUCCUGGGCAGAAGGGCGCCGACGUGGAGGUCGUGUUCGCCUUUCCCUGCCGGCCGGGACUUCCCCGCGGCCCGCUCCCCGGGCCUUCCUCACCUGGCGCGGGCCGGGCGCGCUUGUCCGGGCCGGGUCCCCGCGGGCUUUUCAGAGUUGGGGCCGAGCGGCCUCGCCUCUGUCCUCCGCACGUGGCCGGGGGGCAGCGCCGCUCCUCAGACCUGCUCCCCCGGGGGCGGAGGGGCCUUGUCCGGUGAGAUGCGUGGUCGGUGACUUUCCCACCAGAUGCUGAGGCACCUGUAUCCUUGGCACAGGCCGGUACCCAGCUGCAGUUGGAGUAGGCUGAGCCUUCUGAAGCGGUACCUGUUUACAAUGAAGUUGCAGUCCCCGGAAUUCCAGUCACUUUUCACGGAAGGAUUGAAGAGUCUGACCGAAUUAUUCGUCAAAGAGAACCAUGAAUUGAGAAUAGCAGGAGGUGCAGUGAGGGAUUUGUUAAAUGGAGUGAAGCCCCAGGAUGUGGAUUUUGCCACCACUGCCACCCCGGCUCAGAUGAAGGAGAUGUUUCAGUCUGCUGGGAUCCGGAUGAUAAACAACAAAGGAGAAAAGCACGGGACGAUUACUGCUAGGCUUCAUGAAGAAAAUUUUGAAAUUACAACACUACGGAUUGAUGUCCUCACUGAUGGAAGACAUGCUGAGGUAGAAUUCACAACUGACUGGCAGAAAGAUGCCGAACGCAGAGAUCUCACUAUAAAUUCAAUGUUUUUAGGUUUUGAUGGUACCUUAUUUGACUAUUUUAAUGGUUAUGAAGAUUUAAAAAAUAAGAAAGUUACAUUUGUUGGACAUGCUAAACAGAGAAUACAAGAAGAUUAUCUAAGAAUUUUAAGAUACUUCAGGUUUUAUGGGAAAAUUGUAGACAAACCUGGUGAUCAUGAUCCUGAAACCUUGGAAGCAAUUGCAGAAAAUGCAAAAGGCCUGGCUGGAAUAUCAGGAGAGAGGAUUUGGGUAGAACUGAAAAAAAUUCUCAUUGGUAACCAUGUAAAUCAUUUGAUUCACCUUAUGUAUGAUCUUGAUGUAGCUCCAUAUAUAGGUUUACCUGCUAAUGCAAGUUUAGAAGAAUUUAACAGAGUCUGUAAAAAUGUUGAAGGUUUUUCACCAAAGCCAAUGACUCUUUUGGCCUCAUUAUUCAAAGUACAGGAUGAUGUCACAAAAUUGGAUUUGAGGCUGAAGAUUUCAAAAGAAGAGAAAAACCUUGGCUUAUUUAUAGUUAAAAAUAGGAAAGAUUUGAUUAAAGCAACAGAUAGUUCAGAACCACUGAAACCGUAUCAAGACUUCAUUAUAGAUUCUAGGGAACCUGACGCGUCUGCUCGCGUGUGUGAGCUACUGAAGUACCAAGGAGAGCGCAGCCUCCUGAAGGAAAUGGAGCAGUGGUCCGUUCCUCCCUUUCCUGUCAGUGGCCACGACAUCAGGAAAGCGGGCAUCUCUUCAGGAAAAGAAAUUGGGGCUCUAUUACAACAAUUGCGAGAGCAGUGGAAAAAAAGUGGUUACCAAAUGGAAAAAGAUGAACUUCUAAGUUACAUAAAGAAGAACUAAAAUUGAUGGCUACUAAAAACUGGAACAUUUUGGUAAUACUGUUUUUCUUACCCUCCUUCAUAGUGAGAUUUAGGAAACUAUAGUGGAAUAAAAACCAGCAUAGAGGACCUUUUCAGUAGAAUAAAGGUCUUUGUGAACUAUAAUUCGGGCACUAAACUGAAGUCUACCUCCUCUUGAUCUGAUUGAACCUUAUCAUGCAUUUGGAAUAGUUCCACUGAGAAAGGUAUAGCUAAGUGGCUUCUAUCUAUGUUUUGCAUAAGGCAGUACUAAGAUUGAUCUUAAAAAGGUAAUUGUCUUAGACACUUACUUGCAAGUGAAAUGACUGUCUUCAAGUGUCACUUAUCUGAAUUCUAAAAUAGUUGACAAAUUUGCAUAAAAUACCAAAUGUGCCAUGGGUGGCUGACAUUCGUUCAUAACAAGAUUUGUUCUAGUAAGCUAUGUUUCAGUCUGUAUUACAAAGUCUGGGAAAGUUAUGGGAUUGAGGGUUACUCUUAGAAGUAUACAGGUAUUCCUUGGUAUAUUGCACUUGAGAUAUAGGAGGGCUGUCUGGAAAUCUUCUGGAUGGCCCUAUGACUAGUGUCUCUUCAAAGAUUUGAGCCCUAGUGCUUUCGUUGCAUAAACUAUUAUCUAUUUCAGCUCCUAUAUUGAUAUUUUAUAAUAGAUUUUCCUUUCUGUGUAGCCAGUCGUACCAUCUUUGUACUCUAUGGGCACGUAGUAAUUUUGGACCUUGAUAAAACGAUUUUGGAAAGCAUAUUAUUUCUGUUAAAACCCAACUAAAAGGAAGUGUGACAAACAGUAUAACAGGGACUAUGGUACAAGAAUUGGAGCCUCAGAAACAACUACACCCAGCAACUCUGAUUAGGACUCUGGGUUUUUCUGCCCAAUUAAGGUUAAAAAAAAAAAAAGCAACCACCACCAACAUAUUACCCAGGAAACCAGCUGUGCUCUGUCGAAGGCCGGCCUAUCAGAUUCAGGUUGCAAGCCUUAUACACGGUGAGCGUCUCAUGCACAUAUCCGUGAGGAUUGACAUACGCUGCCAUUGGCCCACAUAAGGAUAAACUACAACAAAGAAUCAACAGGGAGGAUAAGUCAAAAUGAAGAAAAAGGUCUAACUCUAAAUGGACAGAUUUUUUUAAAGUUCUCUAAGAAAUGAGCUGCAGGUUUUAAUCUUUUAGGUUUGGGCAAUACCAGAAUCUUAGCAUCAUGUUAAGGGAUUGGCAGACAGUCCCAUUUCAGUCAGUAUGUUUUCUGUGAUGACUGAAAGGGAAAUAGUACUAGUUUUUAAAACCCUUCUCAUGAUAGACAUUGUAAAGCAUACAUAGCUCAAUCAAAUUCAUCUAUCAGUCUCUCUGGGAAUGUUAGUACAAUAAAAAGGUGUUAUGUGGUCAUCCUUGUGCUGUUGAUUAUUUUCUAAAUAGCACUUUUUUGAUUUGUAAUUUUGAUGAAUUCAUCGUAAAAUCGUUUUCAAACACUGUUAUAUCACAACAUCAGUAGGUGUUCAGAAGCAUAUUCUACUUUAGUCUUACGAGGCAAAACCAAUGAUUGAACUAUAAUGCCUGAGGCAUCCGUGUUAGGUCAUUAAUCACUAUGAUAAUCAUAGUACAUGUCUAUAAAUUUCCAAGAUACUCUAAUAUAUAGAUUUUCAACAAGGAUUGCUCAGUUUUAUUUUACCAUGCACAUUACCUAUAAAUAAUCCCUGACAUAUCCACACUGCCAUGAUUACCUAAUGUGAAAGAUGGUCUU